rnacentral:misc_RNA from 1 species
AAGUCGUAACAAGGUUUCCGUAGGUGAACCUGCGGAAGGAUCAUUAACGAAUAUCUAUGGCGUUGGUUGUAGCUGGCUCUUAGGAGCAUUUGUGCACGCCCGUCAUUUAUAUCAUCUUUCCACCUGUGAACUAUGUGUAGUCUGGAUACCUCUCGCUUUGGUGACAAGGCGGAUGCAAGGAUUGCUGCGUCGAAAGGCCAGCUCUCUUUGAAUUUCCAGGUCUAUGUUUUUUUACACACUCCAUUUGAAUGAUGUCGAAUGUAAUCAAUGGGCUUUCAAGCCUAUAAAAAACUAUACAACUUUCAGCAACGGAUCUCUUGGCUCUC